rnacentral:rRNA from 1 species
GUCGGGAAUUUUGCGCAAUGGACGAAAGUCUGACGCAGCAACGCCGCGUGAGGGAUGAAGGCCUUCGGGUUGUAAACCUCUUUUCUCAGGGAAGAUAAUGACGGUACCUGAGGAAUAAGUCACGGCUAACUACGUGCCAGCAGCCGCGGUAAUACGUAGGUGGCUAGCGUUGUCCGGAUUUACUGGGCGUAAAGCGCGCGCAGGCGGUCGUUCAAGUCGAGUGUGAAAGCCCCCGGCUCAACUGGGGAGGGUCACUCGAUACUGAUCGACUUGAAGGCAGAAGAGGGAAGCGGAAUUCCCGGUGUAGUGGUGAAAUGCGUAGAUAUCGGGAGGAACACCAGUGGCGAAGGCGGCUUUCUGGUCUGUUCUUGACGCUGAGGCGCGAAAGCUAGGGUAGCAAACGGGAUUAGAAACCCCAGUAGUCC